rnacentral:rRNA from 1 species
UACGUAGGGUGCAAGCGUUAAUCGGAAUUACUGGGCGUAAAGCGUGCGCAGGCGGUCCGUUAAGACAGAUGUGAAAUCCCCGGGCUUAACCUGGGAAUGGCCGUCGAAACUGGCGAACUGGAGUGUGGCAGAGGGGGGUGGAAUUCCGCGUGUAGCAGUGAAAUGCGUAGAGAUGCGGAGGAACACCGAUGGCGAAGGCAGCCCCCUGGGCUGACACUGACGCUCAGGCACGAAAGCGUGGGGAGCAAACAGG